rnacentral:lncRNA from 1 species
GUGCGCGCCCCGCACACUGCCGGGUGCCCGCGGGGCGGCUGAGGGCAGGGGAUCGCUCAGCGAGAAGGAAUGCCAAGGGGCACGAUGGCGAGCAGUCCCUGGACCCACCUUCUCUGGUGUGUGAUGAUGGGAGCCAACCAGCAGUGCUGAGGGGAGGAAGAGGAGCAUCGCCCCGUCACACCAUGGCCCCACGUGCCGGCCCGCCUGAUGGCGGCUGGGGCUGGAUGAUUGUGGCCGGCUGCUUCCUGGUCACUAUCUGCACCAGGGCCGUGACGAGGUAAAGGGGCU